AAAAGGCCUAUUAAGACCUAGUGCUUUGCUUCUGUUAAUUCUUCAGCGUCCUCAGAGGAAUCAUUAAGUAGAAGUUUAAAGACUCAGAGAUUUCGAGGUAAGCCCAAGCAACAGCAAACAUGGAGUGGAGAAAUGCAAAUGUUAGUAGAAGAACCUACAGUAUUGUUUAAAACUACCUUAAAUGGUAAACAGCUUGGUCGAUCCUGAUAUGCAUCAAUUAAUGCAAAUUGGAGUGAUGGACCAAAUUUUAGCAGGCUGAAAACAAGAAUUAAAAAAGAUACUUCCCCAAAAAACAGAAAAUCAAAAAACCCCCACACACAUAGAAACCAACCUUAUUGAAACAUCAGAGCACUGCAAAUGUAGUCAGAUUUCUCUCAGUUACCCUUUAAGAUUAGAAUUUCUGAUAUUUUUAUCCCAAAGAACUCCAUAGUAUUUAAAAAUCAACUGAAAGACAACCACAGAGAAGAUUAAGUCCAAACAAGCACUACAACUUAUGUCCAGAGAGACUGUAAUGGAAUAUUAUAACUUUCAUGGAAACAGCUUUAAUGAAAAAGACGUUGAGCAAACAUCAUAAAACUCUGCCAAAUUCUGGAAAAACCAUUACUAAUGCUCCUAGCAGAUUGUCUUCAAAACAGGCCUCAACCUCCAUUGGGUCGGAGCUUCCUGCAUUUUCACCAGAUGUAGUGAGUUUAAAUUCUGUUGUUAAAACAAAUCCUGGAAAGAAGAGGCCUAAAACUGUGACAGUAUCAAAAAGGUCAAGUGUUGGAAGCAUGUCUCAGGAUCAAUGGGAUCGACCAGUUAUUCCACCAAGAAGACCAGGUUUAAGGGUGUGCUAUAUCUGUGGCAAAGAAUUUGGUUCAAAAUCUCUUCCUAUUCAUGAACCAAAAUGCCUGGAGAAGUGGCAUAUUGAAAAUGACAAACUACCUAAACGUCUCAGGAGACCACCACCAGUAAAACCUCAGGCUCUUUCUGGAAAGUCUUCUGGUAUAGUGGCUGAAAAUGAAGCAGCAGCUCAAAGUUUUCAAGCUCAGCUCCAGCCCUGUCAAAACUGUGGUCGCACUUUCCUCCCAGAUCGCCUCCUUGUACAUCAAAAGAGUUGCAAACUGAAGUCUAAUCCAGGUUCUUCAAACUCCAAAUUGCUUACAUCUACAGGUUAUGGGGCAUCGUCAUCAGACAAGUCUCCCAUGAUAAGGCGGCCUCCUACAGUUAUUUGUUAUAUUUGUGGCCGUGAGUAUGGAACGCAUUCCAUAGGCAUCCAUGAGCCACAGUGCCUGAAAAAAUGGCAUAUUGAGAACAAUCAACUGCCAAAGCAUUUGCGAAGACCUGAACCUGUAAAGCCAGUUGUCAGUUCCAUAGGAGCCAAAGGUUACUAUGAUCUUGAUGCUUUAAAUGAGUCUGCUUGGCAAAGUGCCCAGAGCCAGCUAGUUCCAUGUGGUAUUUGUGGCCGUACCUUCCUGCCAGACAGACUGAUUGUCCAUCAGCGGUCCUGUAAACCAAAGAUACCAAAAUAAAGCUCUCCUCAUGUUAAGGAUUUAAAGGACAAAAUUGUUCUCUCACCUCUAGAACAAAAGUUUCAACACUGAAGAAUCAUUGAACCAUAUAGAAUCAUUCCAAGUCUGCUCUGCAUAAAAUUAAUGUACUAUUGAUUAUGUGAGUGACAUAUGGGACAUGGGGCACCUGACAGUGUUUUGCAGCAAUUAUUGAUGAGUGGCUCAUAAGGACAAAAAGAACCUUUAUGGAAACCUCUGCAAGAUGGAGCCUUCACAGAAAGGACAGUGGCCUUCGUGCUAUUCAUUGAUUACUGUUCUUCUAAGUAUUGCAAUGUCUGUUAAGAAAUGGUUUUGUUUGAUAGACUCCUCAUUUAGUAAAUCAUGUAUAAGAAUGUUUAUUUUUAGUAAUGAAUUUUCUGUUUAAGGGAUCAAUCGGCAGCAACAUAAGGACCAUACAAGUUUUGAUAGCCUUCAUCAAAAGUGGGUAUAAUCAAAUUUUCCUUUUCAAAUACAUUGUAUAUUGGUUCUGAAUGUCUUGGGGGAGAAAGGUCAACUGUUCCAGAUAAUUCCACUCCUCUUAGCCCCUUGUUUAACAUGAAAUUUCUGGGUCAGUUUGAGGUCUAUUCUGGUUCUUCACUUCAUACAACUACAGCUACCUGAGGGAAGAGACUUAGUUUACAUUUGCUGGCCUUCCUGUGCCAUGAUCUUGUAGCCAUUGCCUUUUACAAGAUAGAAAAAAUCUUUGAAGGCUGUUUACAUACCUACAUGGAUGUGAGUGUGGAUGAUGAUUGAAAAGAUUUGUAUGAUACAAUGCAGAAUAGUAUCAAUCCCAAAACCAGUUUUGUAUGCUACUUCCCCAACACCCAUCCUAGGUUAUUGUUUACUGUGGAAUACCAGCACAAUAAAUGGGAACCUUGUUUUAUGCUCACAGGUUAUAAUGUUGUGCAGAAGGUUUGCUGCUCUUUGAGAUUCCCAGUUUGAAGGGCAGAAGACAGAAUUCAAAGUGCCAGAAAAAAGGAUGGAUGAUGCCGGAAUUCUCUUCAGAAUUCAGAUAAAAUGUUUUAAGAAGCUGAUGGUUAUUGGAAAAUAAGUGCUGAAAUCCAAUCCUGGAUGUUAAAUAAUACCAUGAAGAUGACUGCAAUAAAGGAAGGAAUAAUAUAUUUUGAGUUUUCAUCUUCAUGUCCUAAAGCUGCUUGUAGGUAUUUAUAACAAAUUGGACAAUUUUAAGAAAAUUGUCACCAGCAUCUGUUUUCAAAUGAAGUGUGCUGGAGGUCUCCAUGCAAUAAAGGAAGCUAGCUGAGAGCCAAUUGUUUCUCACUGCUGAGCUAUCAUGUUUGCCUUCUAAUGAAAACAAGAAUAAUAUUAAAAGUUAUGAUAUAUAUGUAUUUAAAAAAUCAAAAUCACCUAGCCUGAAAAGAAGUUUAUUUAAAAUGGUCCACAAAUUCCAUAUUAUUUGAGAAAAAUAUUUUUUAGGUCUAUUAGUGAUAUUUCAGUAAACCUUUUAAUCUGUAUGAAGGGAAAACAGAUUCAAUGUAUUAAGUCUAUAGGUCAGUUCCUCUUCUAAAAUUCUGCACUGCAUAAAUCCAAAUGAAAACCCAUGACUCUAAGGCAUUCAUUUCAAGCCAUGGAAAAAUUUUCUUAGGGCCAGUGCUUUUUUUUUUUGUAAAAAUAAAAGGUGCCAGAACUCACACAUGUCAUACAACCUGCCUUGCCUACCCUACAAGGUUCCAUCCAAAAAAGGUGCCCGAACUCCAUUCUGGGCGUUUUAUGACCAAAAAAAAGCCCUGCUUAGGGCUAUGAGUACAUAUGAAUAUCACUGAAAAGAGAAAGCAGAGAUGUUUUUUAUGCAAUCAUGCAGUUAGAGUUUAGAACUACCAUAUUUUCUAAAGCAUGCAAAUCGGCUCCGAAGUCAGGGGUCGUCUUAUACGCCAAGUCAUCUUAUACGCUGGAAAUUACGGUAGUUUCCAGCAUAUAAGACGACUUUCUAAGCAUGCAAAUCGUCUCCAAAGUCGGGGGUUGUCUUAUACGCCGAAUCGUCUUAUACGCCGGAAAUUACGGUAAUAGCCUGAAGUCCUGGAUAUUACAGCUCAGGCACCCUGGCAUUCACAUAGUGAUUUCCAGGGACCUACAAGUCUUCUUUGCAUACAAUAAUUCCCAUUUGUCUUCUCAAAUGUGGGCGAUGCUAUUAAAAAAGUCAAGAUGAUGUCAGCCCUGCCCUUUUGCUAUAUGCAUCCUAAACGUAGCACAUUUUUUUUACCUCCUUUGUCUUUUCCCUUAUUCCCGUACCUCCUCUGUCUCUUUCUUUAUUGGAUCUUUCCUUCCUUCCUUCCUUCCUUCCUUCCUUCCUUCCUUCCUUCCUUCCUUCCUUCCUUCCUUCCUUCCUUCUCACCUCCCUCCCUCCACUACUCUAUACAGUCUGCAGGCAAGAGCACCACAUAACACAUAUUGGCAGCAGUAACAACAGCUGGCUAUUGUCCACUUUUUGUAUUCAACAAAAGACAAACAAGGAAAAAAAAACAAUCUGCAAGAUAGGUUGAUUUCAAGAGAAUCACAGCAGAAGAAGGGUUUCAACAAGGGCCACAACAACAUAACUGCUAUGCCACUAGUUGUGGAAAUAAAAAAAUACCACAAAACGUUCAACUGUAAAGAGAAACACCCCUUUGUAUACACCCCUUGCCCCACUGGACUGCCACCAUAAGAUUUGAACAGGGAUUCAAACUAAUUAAUGUUAUUAAUAUUAAUGAAUAAGAACAAGAUAAUAUUUAAAUGCAAAUUUUGUUUAGUUAAUUUCUCAAUAGUUGUAUAAAUUUAAAUCUUUUCUUCUACUGUAAUUAAAUUCUGGCAUUUUCAUUAUUGUAAUUAACUUCCAAUCAACAAAUAUUCAUGGGAUUCAGGAGACUCUCAGGAACAAUUCAAGUAACUGAAUUUGGAAAGAAAAUCAUGCAAACCUUAUUGGGCACUCAAUAAUAUCUCUGAAAUGGUAUUAAAAGGUAUAAAUGCUAGAACACAAAUGAGGAGAUUGCCUGUUAGAUAUAUUCUUAAGACAGAAUUUCAUUUCAUUCAGUAAUGUUUGACUCUCAAUAGAAGUUGUUUAAGACUUAAGAAAUUUAACAAAUAAAAUAAAUAAAUAAAAUAAGACUUCAUUGUUCCUGUUAACAUCUUCAAUGUACUCAGUAUAAUAUAGGAAAAAGGAAACAUGAAUUUAUUUUUAAACCAGUUACAUAAAUAUGUUUAAAUCAGCUGAAUUCAGAAAUAAUAAAUACGCUCCUCAUCAAAAAUUGUACAAGGAAUUAAUGCUCUGCAUAAAAUUUUUAAAUAUAAUUUUAAGAAUGAUUUUAAAUGCAAUAACUAAGUACUUAAUGUGGGCAGUGCAGUGGCCUAGAGGUGGAGCUCUAGCUUUAAAAUCAGGAGGCUUUGAGCUCAAUCCUAGGUAGCCUCAGAUAUUUCUCUCUCUGGGCUCAAUGAGUAAUUGCCUGCUGUGAACUCCACGUAGGUAUCAGGAAGGGCAUCCAGCCAGUAAAUGCUCAACUCCAUUCAGUCACCCUGACUCCACCCUGAUGCAAGGUAUUACAGGGUUGUUAAAAGAAAAAAAAACUAAAGACUUAAUGUAUGUAUGCACAGGGCAGGGCAAUGGCCUAGCGGUUAAGAUGCUGAGCUUGUCAGAAAACUGACAGCCCAGGUUUGAGACCCAAGUGCCAUAUCACAGGGUGAGUUCCUAAUAUUUGCCCCAGCUACUGCCCUUCUAGCAAUUUGAAAGCAAACAAAUAUAAGAAGAUAAAUAGAUUCUGCUUCAGCAGGAAGGUUACUGCAUCCCUUAUUUUCAUGCUGGCCACAAGAUGAUAGAAAUGUCUCUCAGACAAUGCAGGCUCUCUCAGCUGAGAACUGGAGAUGAGCAUCACACCCUUGAGUUGGUCAGGACUGGACAGAGGAAACCUUUCAAUCUAUACACAAUUGGAUAUGUUACCCUGGGAAAGAGCAGUAGUUUAGAAUUGACUAAACAAGAAUUGACUAGAAUUGACUACCUAUUAUUUCUCUCAUUUCUGCAUGCACGCACACAAACAUACACACACACAAAGUAGGCAGCAUGUGACAAAAGCUUAGCCAGUAGAAAGGGUGAAGAUUAAUUGCGUUUACACAUUGCAAUAGAAAUUGACACUAAUGCACAUGUGUAAAUAGUGUAUGUCAUAGAAUGUCCUUUGCAUUCCUUUUUUGCAAGCAUUUAAUCAUCUGGAAGAUUUUAUGCCCAUUUGCUAAUUGCUAUAUUUAUAGUUUCGGAAAUUUCUAUCUUUGCAUUCAGAACACUUGAGACCAAAGUCUGCAGACAUUUACUAACACCUUUUCUAAACAUCUUGCUAUAGGGCUUAAAUUAUCAUUAUAUUUCAGAAAGUAACCAAAAUUCAUUAGAGAGUCUAGAGUUAACAAUAUUUGAGGAAAUAAUUCUGGAAAGCAAUUGUAAAAAGAAAAGUCUUUUGUUAACACCAAUUACCCUUACGUUAUUGCUUUGCUGGCAAUGGCAAGAACUCAAUAUCUCCAAAGUUAAAUUGCACACUGGAUACUUAUAUAGCAUUCUGAACAGCAGCCUAAGCUAAUGGCGCGUGUUCCUUUCCUGAGAAGUUUAUAGUCUAAGUGCAGUGCAGUUGCAGGAAAGAAAUGGGAGGCAAAAGCAAAUGCAGUUGCCAACAUUCACAUUUCAUUUUUAGUAGCAAAAAGUUUUAAGAGCCACCCUUAAGGAAAAGAGAAAACAGAUCUGGCAUUAUUGUAACAAGAUGGCCAUGUUUUAAUGGCUAUGCUGCACUCAGAUCACUGAUCAAUUGUUGGUUGAUCAACUGAUUAUUGUUUUGUUAAUUUGGGCUGGAAAAAUAGAGUUUGAAGAAAUUUUAUAAAUGAAAUAUUUUUUAUCAAUGCAAUCAGAGCAAACCAUAUCUGUUUCCACUACCCUCUUCUGUAUUUUCAAAUCACUAACAUAUAAAAGAAGGUAAGAAUUCACAGAGUUGCUGGCCUAUGUGAUAUCAAAAAAUUUUGAAAUUAUUGCCACUUAGGAUUUUGAGGAAAUCAUACUUAAACUGAAAAUUCUAAGGUGAAAGAAAUAUAUUUUUUCCUGUUAAUUGAUAUAAGAUAUACAGGCUACCUUUCAGAUCUUCCAGUAAAUGGGUUCCCCUAUUAUUUUCAAGUUUGAAGUCCUAUGUUGAUUCAUUUAUAGUGCUGCUUAUGAAAAUACGUUGUUGAAAAGCAUUGUGAACUCUCUCUCAUUUAGCUAAACUUCUCUUUGUAACUACCCAUUCGAAUAUCUUUUUCUGUAUCUUGGAUUUAUAAAUGCAUAUUCUUUGACAUGAAGGCUUCAAACACAGGAAAAUCAACAAAUCAAUAUGUAAGGGGCCUAAAAUUGCCCUCUCGCUGUCACGAGGUUUCCAUUUAUUACUACUUAAAGUGAAUGUAUAAACUCAUCCAACACAUUUUCUUAAAGCUCUGAAUCUAUAUCUUCUCGUACCUCCAUCAAUCCUAUUUAAUAUAGAGUUAUGUCUGAGAUGGCAAUCCUAAACAUGCUGCUAAGACAGUAGAAAACAUUACAAGACAGAAGGAUGAAAAAUAGCACUCUUUUCAUUCAACACUCUCCAACAUUCUUUCUGACCUUUUGGAGGUGCGGGGGUGGGGGGCACUAUACUAGCAAUACUGGACAUAUGUGUGACCCAAAUAAAUUCAUUUAAACCUAAAGGGAAAGCAUGAUUGAUUAGUUAAGAGAAAAAACAUUCCACUUGAAAAGUUCCUUGAGACAAGAAAUUCUCAGCUGUGUGAGCCAACAUAUGUUUUAAAUAUUUGCAAGAGAUUACCACUAUAAAUUAACACCGAAAGCUGAUGUUCCUAAUUCUGAUAUAGUCCCGACCCAAUCUGAGAAACAGAUCAUUUGCCUGCUUGUUUAUACAAGUGACAUUCCAGACAGCAAUAGCAGUUCCAAUUUUAUAUUUGGAAAGGAAUCAAAUUGUCCUGCUCAUGAAUCAACAAACCCCAGCAGGUGGCAAUAGAGACACUUCUGCUUUCCCAAAUUUUGAACCUCUGUUGUAUUGACUUAGGUGUGUGCUAUUCUUUCUAGUGCUUUAUAGCUUAUUGUAAAAAAAUAAAUAAAUGUCUAGGCUUUUGUUCAAUAAAA